AAGAACUUACUUGGGAGAUAUUCCUCACUCAAAUUCACAAUCGCUUGUUUAGAAGUCAGUAACUUGGGGCUCAAGUUAAUCUAUUUGUAAGAAGUCUGUUAGGAUUUUCAUUGCUAACAGUGGCACGCUCGCACACUAAAGAAAGUUGACUUGUUGACCAGUCAAUGAUUCUUAAGGCAAUGGGGAACUUUACCCUACCAUCACAUGAACAAACAUAAAACGGGCGAACAGUUUCAUGUGAAGAAGUUGAAGCAAAAUGUUCUAAAUUAACAAUUUCAGACUUUUUAAUAAAUCUUCCUAGAUGGUCCCUAGGUCGCAUAAAGUAAAUAAAAACAAAAAACAAAAACAAAACAAUAAAAAAUAUAUUAAAAAAAUAUUAACAAUUAGAUGAGUUUGGAAAGAGUGUACCAGAUGUGAAGAAUUUCACAUAACUAGCAAACCUUCAACCAAGGGGAUCUUUGUACCCUUUGACUAGCCACUCCCUGGUAACAGUGCCAAUUGAUUGACCGCUUGCAAAACUUAAGGGGAGGUGUCGUAUAGCAGUGUAGUUUAGAAGUCUGAGUGUUAUAUACACGGAGAGCAAUGUAAAGAAAAUCACAUUGCUAAAACAUAACAAUUAAAAUAGAGAAGUAUAUUUAAGCAAAAUUUGAUUUAAAGAAAAUUUAAUUGAUUAAAACACUAAAGCGUUGUGGUUCCACUUUUAAUAUAAGCAUGCAACUCUUAUUAAUUUGAUCAGCGAAAUAUUUUCCAUUGUAGUUGUUCAAACUAAUUAAAGCUCUUUUUAAUUUCCUUUAGAAGUAUUCUAAGCAUAACUUGUACCAUUGGCAACAAACUUUCAAAAAAUAGUCUUCAUUGAAAUUCUAUUAAUUUUAGUAAUUCUCUUGACAGGGCCCGACCCAAAUUCCACUAUGGAAUAUGUGUCGAACCCUAUGCAUGUCCAACACCUGAUAGGUGUCAGGUACAAUUGUCCAAACUACCCUUCUUACUUUGAACCACAAAACAAAAAUACCCUCAAGAUUUAACUUAUGCUAGAAAAC
rnacentral:lncRNA from 1 species